AUCACGCUGGCGGCGUGCCUAACACAUGCAAGUCGAGCGAGAAAAGGGGAGCAAUCCUCUGAGUAAAGCGGCGCACGGGUGAGUAACACGUGGGUAAUCUGCCCUGAAGUGGGGAAUAACACCGGGAAACCGGUGCUAAUACCGCAUAUGAUCACGGUGUCUGCGGACACAGGGAUGAAAGGAGCAAUUCGCUUCAGGAGGAGCCCGCGGCUGAUUAGCUAGUUGGUGAGGUAAUGGCUCACCAAGGCUACGAUCAGUAUCCGGUCUGAGAGGGCGGUCGGACACACUGGAACUGAGACACGGUCCAGACUCCUACGGGAGGCAGCAGCGGGGAAUUUUUCGCAAUGGGGGCAACCCUGACGAAGCAACGCCGCGUGGAUGAUGAAGUAUCUCGGUACGUAAAAUCCUUUCGACAGGGAAGAAACCGCAAGGUUGACGGUACCUGUAGAAGAAGCCCCGGCUAACUCCGUGCCAGCAGCCGCGGUAAUACGGGGGGGGCUAGCGUUGUUCGGAAUUACUGGGCGUAAAGGGCGCGUAGGCGGUCUGCUAAGUUGGAUGUGAAAACUCUGGGCUUAACCCAGAGCCUGCAUUCAAAACUGACAGGCUAGAGUUCUGGAGGGGA
rnacentral:rRNA from 1 species